UCAAGGGCAAGAAAAAAAAAAGUGCCAUGGCUGCUCACGGCUAGAUUGGGGUUUUAAAAAAAAAAAAUCAGUUUUGUUGCUUAGUAAAAAUUCUAAGGAGAAGACAAGGAGAUAGAGGUGGAGAAGCAAGAAUAAGUAUAAAGAUUUAAGACACAAAUUGGAGCCAAGUAUCCAAGGCGAAAAGAGCAACGAGGCAAAAGGGAUUCACGGAUAGUCGUCGACAGGUACAUACGACAGGUUCGCUGAUCCGCCCGCUUAGGAUCUUAUUCUGCUAUUCUGAGGCGCUCUCUUAUCCGGAGCCUAUAUUUUUGGUACAGUCUCCUGCUAUUGUAUAAAUGUACGUCACUCAGGGGUACGACGGGGCCCUGUCCCGUCAUAUGAUUCUGUCGGUCUGUUUAGAGGUCUGUGGACAUGUUUGUGGGUUGGGGGUCUUCCUGUAUGAAUGCGUGUAUAUGUUGUGUUUGGGCGAUCCCAUUCGCCGCGGCGGCCGGUCCGCAUAUGUUUAAA